CUCGUUUCAGGCCAACCUGGUCGAGUGGUCCUCACCCUUCCGCUGAUGUCCGGGAAAUAGAUUUUAUUUUGUCCUGUUGUAAAUAAAUCACUCACUCAUCCCUAUCCAACGUGUGGUUACUGCAUGUGGGUCCGUAAAUUGAAACCCAUCAUGUCAAUCAGUGGCCAAGCCUGAAACAAAUAUUGAAAGAUGAAGAAAUUCUUUUUGAUAUUUUUGCAAUAUUUAGCUAGCAGUUAUGUGAAAUGUACUUAUAUUUAAUUGUAGCUCUAAUUUUUUUAUAUGUACAAUGUUUUAGGCUUUAUUAGUUACAUUUAUAGUGAUUUUCUAAACUUCUCUUAAGAGUAAUACUACUGUCUUAGUCCUGUCACGUUAACAAAGAAAUUAGGAUAAUUGCAAAACUGUUCAGUGUUUACAAUAUAAGGCUUCAGUAGUUAAUCCAUACAAAGGCUGUUUUGCCUUAAUUUUUUUAUUUUUUUGAAAAGUCUAAAUGUUAUAUUGCACUAAUAAAAGAUAUAUUUUUGCAGGCUUCAAGAGGAUCAGCGUGUGAAGAUCACUUUAUAAUGAUUUGAAAAAGGUUGCCAUGGCUACAGAAAUUGGAGGAGCAUCCUUAGAUGACACAAUACAACCAGCUGUGCGAUUCCUCAUGUCCCAUGAACUGGAAGUCCAGUUCAACCUUUUUGGCCAACAUUGGAAACAAGCUCUUGGACCUGCGUCUCUUUGAUGGGGACUUAAAAGAAAUUAUCCAUCUACAGAAUCACACAAGCAUACAGCAAAGACUCUCGAAGUGGUUUACUGGAGCCCGAGUGGAAGUGGAAAUAGACUAGAGAGACUGCCAGUUCAAACUCAGGUUGGGGAGGUCUUUCAAGAUGGACAGUUUCAGUAAAGUAUGAGAGAUUUCAAAUUUAAGCAUGCAUAUGGCAUGUAGGUUAUUUUAAAAAUGUUUAACAAAAAUGUAUUGUGAAAGAUCUAUAUAGGUGUGUAUAUUCACAUUGUGUGUAUCAAUGUGAAUAUACGUGUAUAAAGUUAUAUAGAUAGUAUUUAGAUGUAUACAUU